CAAAAGUACAGAGAUUUUACAUACAAGUAAAAAAAAAAAAAAAUUAUCUCAGUUUAAAUUUUUACAGUCUUUGUGGGGAUCUACUAUCAUUUGCACUAAGAGACAGACUAAACCAGUUUUCACUCCCUCCAGAAAAUUUGGCUAUAUUUGCGGCUAAUGUGAGUAAAUUUUCCCACCCUAUACCCCAAACUGAUUUGGCUUGUAGGGAGGAACAAAAGUACACUGUAAAUGAAAGGAAGCUUUGUUGGACGGAAUGCAACAAUACACUUAUUUCACCUCACUUGUCCUUUUUCAUAGGUCCUUUUGUCAUAGGUCUAAGUAAAAUUGAAAAUGUAUGUAUCAUUGAUUUAAAUACACUCAAAAAAAUGAAAUCUGGGUGUUGUUCGAUAAAAAUAAAUAGAGCAUUUUGAAACAAAUAAAAUUAAUCAGUUUAAGGGAUGUACACAAUUAUUUUAAAUCAGUCUGAACUAAAUCCAUACAACCUUAAAAGAGCUCAAUUCAUUUGUGUCGAAACAACAAAAAAUAAUGAUUCGAGUCAAACUACUACUUUUGCGCAUGCGCUGAUGACAGGAAAUCCACGUGACCUCGUCAGUUAUCGCGGGCGCCAUUACGUGGUGGAGUCCAGUCUAUGGUGGAAUGCUGUAGAAUUGGUAAGUUCAAAAAUCCUUUAUUUUCUUUGUCUGCAUUGUGCUGAUAGAGAGUAAAACUAUUUAAAUCAGUCAGAAUUCAACAUUAAGCGGAUAUUUGACCGCUUAUUGGAAUAUUUGAACUACUCUAUUAGUCACAUGUUCAUACUCGAUAAAAACAUAGUAAAUCGAUAUAAACGCCUGCAUGUAUGUACAUAAUUUAACAUUAAUGCGGUAGUUGCAAGCGUUAUUGUACUAGAUUGUUUCAGUUAACUGUUAAGUGAUGCUUCUGUACAAGUAAAGACGAGAACACUGCGAAUUAAUGUUAAAACGAAACAACAAACAAAGAUGUCAAUACAAUUAUAUGCUUGAUGUUAAUCAACAAGCAGCCAGGCGGCGUGGAAUACAGUAUAGAGCACAUGCGUACUAGGCAUGUGUCAUUUGACUAUGAUCGCACAGGAUUAGGGUGCACGCGUUGUUAUUUCGCACAGAUGAAUACUGUGACCGUAAGUGAUUCCCUCACUUCUGUUACAUGUUCAAAUUCGUAAUGUUUUAUAGAUGUGAUCUUAAACGUGAUAUUUAUACUUUAAUCUUAUCACUGUGUGUUGUAAUUGCUACUGCACAUUUUUGUAUUACGUUGUAUUAUUGUUACAGUUGCUGUAAUUGAAUGAGAAUGAUUUAAAGACAAUUUGAUUUUUGUUUGUAUGAAAUAUAAUGAUCGAAACUUCCCUUCCGGGCAGCAUUUACUUUUUAUAUUGAUUUCAGUUAUAAUGCAUAUUGCAUGGGAAAAUCAGCCUCGGUUUAGUCGGUAGAGCAGGAUCGCCCGUUUUCUUCAGAAUUGUUUUGUGUUUGUAUAUAUAAUUUUACUGUUGCUGAGCAUGUAAUACGUGAAACAUCUGUACAGGUAAAUACAAGUGUACUGCAAAUUUAUGUAAACAUUGUUUUAUUUUACAGGUUUUUACAAGAGCUCAUUAAAUUGCAUCCUAUACUUGGGUUAUAGUAUACUUUUUCACAUGGUUUACAAGAGCAAUAAACAGCAUCCCAUGCUUGGGUUUUAGUAAACUUUUUCAUGUGAACAACAGCGUAGACAUGGAAAGAGAAUGCAUCCUCAAAGAACUGUGUAUACUUAAAGGAGGACCAUCUACAGCUGUUCAAGGAGUACAAUGAUUGCGACUGGAUGAAUGCUAAAGAAGCCAUAGAGCAGAUGGUAAUGGGGAUCUACAUCAUCCAGUCAGUAGACACCAACCAGGGGAUAAACCUGUGGACAUUGGUAUCCUGAUUGAAGGGACCGAGGUGCUCUGCUCUUUGAAGAACGUGUAGGAGUGGCCAUGCUGUUUGGACUUACUUACGCCUUGAACCUCAGCUACCCACGAGAACUCAAGGCUACAUUUGAGGUCAUCCAGAAAGUGUUCUUUAUCUUGGAUGGACAAAAACUUUCACUAAAGGUACCAGCCCUUAAGAACAAGAUGUUGGAGUAAGUUACCUUACGUGUGUAUUCUCAAAAGACUAAAUCUUGACUCAAGAAGGUAUUAGCUGUGCAUAUACAUUGAAAUAUAAUGUUGUUCAUCUUGGAUGAUAUAUUUUUUUUUUUUUCACCUGAAAAUUUGCCUUGAAAUAAGAAUAAAGAGAAACUUGUGACAUUCACUUUGAGAACAUUUUAUUUGUGCAGUAAAUUACAUUUUGAUAGACAUGUCAACAAUUAAACAUUUGUUUGAUGUAAAUAAAGUUGUACAAUUAACUUAACGAUAGUAGUUGACACAAUAUUUCUGGUUUUCUAAAUUAAGUGAUUAAGAUUAAUUGGCUCAACAAGAUUAAAUAGUUUAUAGAUAAAUACGAUAAUAUGAUUCAAAUGAAAAUGAUUUGAUCUUGUUGGUUCAAAAUGAAUUUUGCUCUUGGGUUCCAUUUGCCUAAAUUAAGUUGAGACAACACCAUUCAAAUGUGUGGAAAUAGGUGUCAUAAUUAUAUUAAGUUAGACCAACGAUUUAUUUUUUUGAGUGUAGGUUACUUACCUUGAAAUGUUUCAGUUAACAGGCAGAAAUUAUAUUGUUGCAUUUUUUCCAUCACGAAAAAGUCCAUUGUCUAAAACAUAAGUAUAAACACAUUUAGUACAACAAAUUUAAAAAACAUGUCAAUCAAUCUAGCUUCAUAAGAGAAACUGCUGUAAUUAUAGGGUAUUCCAAUAGAUGCAUAACAAUAUUCAAUAUGAAUAAGUUAAAUCAUAAAAACACUUUUACAGUACAAUUAAUUAGUGCUGGUGCGCUAAGACGAAUAUGACUUUUCUGUUUUUAGCUCCCCUCUUAAAGAUUGGUGGGAGGAGUAAUGUUAUGUAAAUUUGGGGCACUAGUAUAAAUUUCCGCUGAAAGAGCGGAUUGCCUCACGACUGCGCGCUCUUCUUUCGUCUGGGUUUUGAACUUUUAUAACAGAAAAUUGCAGGUUCAUUCAAACGAUUCUCGCGGAGUCUGUUGUCUGUCGCAUUACUGGUGUGUGAGCUCAGAGCUCGCUCGAGCAGCUUCUUUCACUGGUCCGAUCCGAUAAAUGGUCCGUGCGGCUUUUCUAACAUUUUUAUUAACUUUUAAGUCAUACUUGUCUAAAUCUUUUAUUGUAUUAAUACUGGCUAACAAACAUGAAUAGCAUUAAUUGACAAUCGAUCUGAUUAUCUGGGGGAAACAAACGGACUAAAGGGAAUUAAAACUUUUUUAACGUAUAAAAAAACAAUAAUUAACAUAUCAGACACAUUACUUAAUGUUAUGACAGUUAUAUACAUCAUAUGAUUAUAUUAACAGUUACUUACCCUUCAUAAUCACGCAGGCUGCUGCUGAUGUCCGCACUGAGUCUCUGACUGGACCGUUAAAAUUUGAACAGGAGUGAAGCGGGAAACAUAUUUAACCCAACAGUUGGGUUAUAACUAAAUAACCCAACUAAUAACCCAACGACGAAAAAAAUUACCCAACAAAUUUUAAGAUAACCCAACACAUUGACCCAAUAUGUGUAACCCAACGGUUGGGUUAAAAAAAACAACCCAACGUUUUUUGCUGUGUAUGACUGCUAAAUUCGCCUGUCAGGUGUUCAAGUGUUAACAAAAAAAAAACAAAACUGUCUGUCUAACACAUUUGCUUUCUAACUACUCACUAAAAGCUCCACGAAUUCACUUGCACUUUCAACCACAAAAAAUGACGUUGCUUGUCCACGCAAAUGUAAAAUUAUAGUUUGAAAAACAAUUUCCACCAUCCGAUCUUGAUCUCUUCCAUCUCAAAGCUCCGCCCACACUAGGUUGAUUGACAUUCAACUUUUGAUGUAACAUUUGCGAUGUAGGUUUGAGCAUUUUAUUUGCCAUUUGCGAUGUCUGUUUGAGCAUUUGAUUUAUCAUUUGCGAUGUGCGUUUGAGCAUUUGAUUUAUCAUUUGCCAUGUGCAUUUGAGUAUUUGAUAUAUAAUUUGAGCAUCAGAUUCAUGACUUGAGCAUUGACUUUUAUAUUCAAUUUUGACAGGUUUCUCCUGGGUUGAUGAUGAAAAUUAAAAAUCAAAUCCAAAUGAGGAAAUGAAAUAUGGUUUGAGCAUUUGAUUUUUAAUUUGUGCAGACAUUUUGAGUGUUUGAUUUAUUAUUUAAUAUUUUGACCAUUUGAUUUAUCAUUUGAACAGUUGUUUUGAGACUUUGAUUUAUUAUUUGAUCUUUUUAAGCAUUUUAAUUUUAAUUUUAAUUAUGUUAGGAAAAAACUUCCAUAAAAACCCAUGUGUUGCGUGUGAAACACAGUAGGCUUUGAUAAGUAUACAUUUAUUGUGAAAUGACUGCAUUUCCGUGUCAAUCCAUGCUCAUUUUUACCGCGAACAAUGCACUGUCACUUUAAUUCAGUGCAUGCAGCACAGCAAAAAUAGACUUGGUACGUAAAUGAUCGAUGCACUGCUUGCAGACGCACUGCUCCUGGAAUGCACUGACGGACCGCAACCGCGUGCAGUGUGAACGCUGAAAUCCGUUAACAUGGAUGCAUAAAAAAAUACGCAACACAUACGCACCGCAGACGGAGUAUGUGUGAAACGGGCGUGACUCCGGCUUUAACCAUUCAUUAUGAUGGAAAAAAAGUGUGCAGCAAUCAAGGGGUGACUCUACAGAAUAUCAGGAGGGCAAAAUUGACACCAAUCAAUAAAUGGAAAAAAUAAAAAAGUGUCUCUCUCUCUCUCUCACACACACACACACACAAAAACACACAGAAAUGAACUGGUAAGACUGCAUCAGAAUAAAAUAUUAUUUUUUUCAAGUUAUUGAAAUAAAAUCAGUAAAUCAUAAAUCAAAAAAUCCAAAGGAGAUUCUCAUUCUCUCUCUCUAACAUUUGAGUACAUUGCAUAAAAUAUUAAUUACAAAAUGUUUGUAUAGUGCUUUGAAUGAUCACUUUUCAUUCCUUAUUUUGUUAGAUUUUUCAAUUAUCAAAUACUGAGUAACAAAAAUGCUUUCUAUGUGUUCCCUUUCUAACAAGAUUUUAAUGUUUGACUGAAAUCAUAAUGUAAAACCUGAUACUUAUCUAACCAAAAAUAUCUAAACCUUGACAAAAAGUUAUCUUUUAAAAUGUCUCGACAUAGAUCUAAAUGCAAAACCUAAAAAAAAAUCAAGAGAUGAGGUCUAAAAAACUAUGUGAAUCCAAAAGCCUCUAUAAUUCUAUAGGGUGUUAAUACAAGAGGUUACGCAACAUUACACCAAGUUUUUACCUUUUUAAUGCCUCCAGAUUGCCCAAUUCUCACAUCAAAAAAUGGAUUUUAAAUGCUUUCACUUUAUUUUAAUGUGAACUAUUGCAUUUAUUAAAAAAAUAAAUAAAUACAUAAAGAGAUAAAAAAUAUACAUUAAUUCUAAUGGAGAAAAUAUCUCGUUAAUAUUGUAUAAAUAUUGCAUAGUAUCAUAAAAUUACCUAAAAAUCAUAUAUAAUAAUCCAAAAAUAUUAUUGAACAAAAAUAUAUUACAUUGGUUUUCCUGAAGAAAAAAAAAAGUUACAUUUCAAGGCUUCGGUCACUUUUG